rnacentral:lncRNA from 1 species
UUGGUUCUCAAACUGAGGGAAAUACUUAUCUCUACUUUGUUGCAUCACCCUUUCCUCUUCAAGGGACAAACCAACGCAAGCUCAAGAAGUAGCAGGAAGAAUUUCUGGCGCCGUUGCCGGAGAGUAUUCAAGUGAAGCAUAUCUACCAAGUAACUAUCACAAACUCAUCUCUUGCAUUUACAUUAUUUGCCUUUUUCCUCUCGUUUUCCUCUCCCCCACUUCUAAAAAAACAAAA